rnacentral:lncRNA from 1 species
AUUUAUAUUCAUAUGUAAGGCCAAUAGGAAGUAAUCUCUGUAUCUGAGUUAUUAUUUCAUAAAUAAUUUAUGCUUGUUCUGUGAAAAUAAAAACACUGCUAUGGAUCUUCCAAGUAUCCUGAAAGGAUACCGUUUAUAAUUAAACAAUAACAAUUUUAGAAAUAAUUAUUUUAAAUAAGGCUAUGAUAAAUCUGGUUUCAUUGCACACUUUAACUUUGGAACAUUUCAUGAAACGUCCCUUGAUCACGACUCUCAUAUUCAGGAGUUUUUUGAGAUCAAAAUGGGACAAUCAGUAUGAAUCUAUUUUUUAGACAUGCAAAUGGAUAACUUUAAAUAGCAGUAGCGAUAUAAUCAGAGUGCACAGUUGCUCUGGGACAAAACUUGGAAAUGAGCAUAUUUUUAGAUUCUUAAUGUUUUACACACUUUAGCAUUCCACAGCACCAUUACAUACUCAUUUUUCUACUAGAAUACCUUGGUAAAAAUUCACAGUAGAGAUCAGGCUUGUCCUUCAUACAUUAACUAAUCAAGUAGGAAAGUGCAAAUGAGAACACAGUGCCAAACAUAGGCACCACAUGGAAACAAGCAUGGAACUGCCAGGAAGCCAUUUUUGUAGAUUUGUAGCCCAAUUAUAUUUUUCCUAAUGUAUUGCACACAAAACUUGGGGGAAAAAAAAGAGGCAGAGAGAAAACAGGUUAUAUCAGCCCUAUCUCACAAUCCACAAGUUCAUCCUGUUAGAGGAGUAACUAUGUAAAACAAAUUUUAUCUGUUGAAUGUCCUAUUUAGUUAAUCGCAAAACUGUAUGAGAACACACUUGUGACUUAUUUAGCAGCUUGUUUGUUCGCUUUCCACUGGCUUCACAAAUGUCCUUUGGAAAUAGAAUGUACAUUUGGAACCUUGUACACCUUUUCUUUCUCCAGUACCCUCUUGUCACUUCCAUCACUAAGGUGACAGAAGCAACUAGGGGCAAUGCAUUUGUAGCACACCUGGGUCAGAGGUAUCCUCCAGGGGAAGGAUCAGACCUGCUUGAAAGCAUGUCGUUGGAAUUGGGAGGCUUCUAGUAGCUAUAACAUAAGCACUGAUGUUUACUCUUCCCUGCCCUCCACUUUGAUCACUCUGGGAAACGUUUUUUUUUCUUAAAAAAUCAAUUGUAUUGAAAGAUAAUUUACAUAAAAUAAAUACUAUUUUAAAGUGCACAGUUUGCUGAGUUUUGCCAGAUGUAACCAUCCAGGUGAAUAAAAUUGAUUAAACUGAUCUUUCAAAUAAUAAAUUAACUUUGCAAUCUUGCUAGAAAUUUAAUUUGUUCACAGUUUAUUAUCCAUUCUAUGUACUGCUACAUUCAAUUGGUUAUUAUGUUUUAAGGACUUUUGAGUCUAUGUUUAUGAGGGAUAAACAUCAAAGUUGUAUAAUGCCUUUGUCUCGAUUUGGAAUCGGCAAUACUGGGUUCAUAAAAUAAGAUAGGAAAUGUCCCUUUAAAUUUUCUUUUUCUUUUUUUUUUUUUUUUUUUUGAGACGGAGAUUCACUCUUGUUGCCCAGGCUGGAGUGCAAUGGCACAAUUUCGGCUCUCCACAAUCUCUGCCUCCCAGAUUCAAGCUAUUCUCCUGCCUCUGUCUCCCGAGGAGCUGGGAUUACAGGCUGGUGUGCAAUGGUGCGAUUUCCGCUCACUGCACUUCCACCUUCCGGGAUUCAAGCCAUUCUCCUGCCUCAGCCUCCGGAGUAGCUGGGACUACAGUCAUGUGCCACCAUGCCCGGCUAAUUUUUGUAUUUUCAGUAGAGGCAGGGAUUCACCACAUUGGUCAGGCUGGUCUUGAACUCCUGACCUCAAGUGAUCUGCCCGCCUCUGCCUCCCAAAGGGCUGGGAAUACAGGCAUGAGCAACUGCACCUGGCCUGGAUUAAUUGAAAAUUUUCUCCUGUAGAUUGUAAUAUAUUAUUAUUGUUAUCUAUUUUAUUGCCCCAAUUUUCUCAAAUUUGGCUAUGGAAGUUUAUUCAAAGUGGAUCUGUUUCCCUUUCACAUUUUCCCCAUUUUGUGAGCAUUUCCUUACUUCCUAACAUGACAAAAUAUUUCAAACUAAUCUUGUAUUUUCCCUGCCCAAUCCUGAUAUCAAAUAUGUCCCCAAGGAGCCUUGGUUCCUUUAAUUGGAGAAUGGUGUUCUCAUUGUUACUGGGAUGAUGUUGUUUCUAGGCCCUUUUGUUAGAGGAGCUAGAAAAUAUAUGUAUGUAUACUCACACAUUUAUACACAUCUGUACUUAUUUAUACAAUUAUCCAUCUGUACGUAUACUAAAAACAAUGAUUUCAUGAAACUUUUGAUCCCAAUCCAACACUAGAUAAAGACUAUAUAGGCCCAUUUAUUUGCAAAUCAGCACAUAAACAUAGAAGAAUUAUUAACAAUAUAAGCUGUAGCUUAUGCUAAAUGUUGGUUGGAACAGACAAUAAGUUAUGGAGAACUUCAGAGGACACUAAGGUUGGAUGGGAUUUUGGAAGUUGUACAGGUCAAUGCCACUCCAUCUAUUGGCGAGUUUCACUAGGUUAAUACAUGAACAACAACAAAAAUAACCUAGAUCAGAAGUUAAAGGUCAUUUUAUUGACUAUCUGCCGUGUCUGUGCCAUUGCAGUGUACUAGGUGCACUUACGAGUCCUCUACUUACAAACUGCUUUUCACAAAAUAUGAAACUCCAGGCAAAGGUUCAGACAUAUGACGUUUGUUUUUAAAAUCUUUCUACAGCCUUGUAUCCUUUUUCCUUUCCUUCCUUUUACCCUUUUUAAAAUGUGUUAUGAGUUUUAUCUUAGACUAACAUCAUCUGUAAUGUUGCUAUACGCCAGUAUUCAGUUGCUGUGUUUGAUGAAUCAUAAAAUGGUGUAAAACUUCAAUUAAUGUACUUUUUAAAUAAAGUAUCUAUGAAUGCAUCCAGCAAAAUGUUUAUGAUUUGAGUAUUCACACAAUAUUACUUUUCUCUGG